AACGAACGCUGGCGGCAUGCCUAACACAUGCAAGUCGAACGAGACCUUCGGGUCUAGUGGCGCACGGGUGCGUAACGCGUGGGAACCUGCCCUUAGGUUCGGAAUAACUCCCCGAAAGGGGUGCUAAUACCGGACAAUGUCUUCGGACCAAAGAUUUAUCGCCUUUGGAUGGGCCCGCGUUGGAUUAGCUAGUUGGUAGGGUAAAAGCCUACCAAGGCGACGAUCCAUAGCUGGUCUGAGAGGAUGAUCAGCCACACUGGGACUGAGACACGACCCAGACUCCUACGGGAGGCAGCAGUGGGGAAUAUUGGACAAUGGGCGAAAGCCUGAUCCAGCAAUGCCGCGUGAGUGAUGAAGGCCUUAGGGUUGUAAAGCUCUUUUACCCGGGAUGAUAAUGACAGUACCGGGAGAAUAAGCUCCGGCUAACUCCGUG
rnacentral:rRNA from 1 species